CUCAUUUAAUCUUAAGUAGCUAUGAUGAUUGUAUUUUUUUAGUAACAUAGGGGGAAAUGUAUUAUUUCAUCUUAUUAGCAAAGCCCUGUAGAAGAUAUCACUGUGGGCUUAAACUACAGCAUUGCCACAAGCUCCGAGUUAGGGACGGCACAUAAUUGCAAGACUCCUUAAUGCCAGUUAGAUUGCCUACAGUCCGAACACCUUUCAAGGCCAUUUACUGCCCCCUUCAACAUUGGGAAGUAAGGCAAGACUACUUUGGAUUAAUACAUUUCCAGUUAAACAUUAUUCUGAGAUGCUUAUUCUAGUUACAAUUUUUAAAGCCCUGCAGAUGGAGCUCUGUUUAAAUGAAUACCACACUGCCAGCCAGAGAGGAGCUUCUGUUGUCUUUGGCAACACAGGUGUUGCUGGAGAACAUUGAACUGAAUUAGCUUACGAGCCAGCUGUUUGCUUAUACGGGAUGCUGUUAUAUAGAAAAUCUCUGCAUUAUGCCAGGUGAACUCUUGCCAUUAUAAGUCUCUCUGGGACAUACUCGUACUAUUUUAUCAGCGUGAACCGGUGUUCAAUCCUCCCCACCCGGCUUUUCUUUCAAGAUCCAUCUUACAAGAUGACUGACUCUGAAACUUAAUGUUGCAGCAUCUGUGCAUAUCAAACCUGAAAGCCGCUUAUAAAAUGUGUUGUGCAGACUACCUGCACAUUUUUAUACCUAUUAGAAUAAAAUAAAACAAGGAGAAUGCCUUAUUCUCCUUCCCUUCUCUGGAAUUGCCAAAAGCACUGAUUUAUUUUCCCAGCCUGAAGUAUUUUAAAGGAUUGUGCAUUUCAAAACAAACUAUAAGAAACAUUUAUAGGUAUAGCCGAGUACAGUUUAUACCAUGG